GUCUUCUUCUUGGCACAAAAUGGCCUGCUGGGCAGAGAAUUGCCCUUGCCUUUACUGCUGGCAGUAUGAACACUGUCCUUUCUGGAUGAACAGGACACAAGGGAAAGUGGCUAUUUAACCUUGCCAAGACAGGGACCUUGACCCUUCUGCCUCAAGAUACUAGAAUGGGAUUAAGAAUAGAAAGGACCAAAUUCUGGCUGCUUUACUGGAGGCCAAGCUUAUUCUAGAGAAUAAGCUUUUCUAUCACCCACCUCCUGCUAUCACUCUUUGAAGCCCUCCCAACAGCCCCAACUGCAUGCCUUCCCCUGGGCUCCAUAUUCUGGCCCACAACUCCAGAAGAAGACUUCUGCUUUACCAGAGGCCAUGCCAGUACUAGAGACCACAGAACCCCAGAGGCAACAUUGGCACCCAAAAUUCCAGAGGUCACACAGGCCAUAAAAACCCCAGUGGAGAACCCUACUGGACCUGAAGACUUGCUGGUCACCAGAACACCAGGCCACUCAGGCCAGAAGAGCAGAAAAGAAACAGAAGUCAAGGAAAGAAACAUUCAUCUAACAAAGGUAAACUCAGAAAUCAGCACCUGAAUCUAUAAUAGACCCUAACCCAAAUGACUAGAGGCCAGUGUAAGAAUACAACCAACAAUUGCCAGGACACUAUGGCAUCACCAGAACCCAUCUAUCCUACUACAGCAAGCCCUGAAUAUUCCAACACAGCUGAAGCACAAGAAAAGGACCUUAAAACCAAUCUUAAGAAGAUGAUAAAGGCCCUUAAAGAGGAAAUGAAUAAACCCCUUAAAGAAAUCUGGGAAAAUACAAACAGGUGAAGGAAAUGAAUAAAACUUCUCAAGACCUGAAAAUGGGAAUAGAAAUAAUAAAGAAAACACAAA